rnacentral:lncRNA from 1 species
AAAAAAAAAAAAAAGGUGCCCUAAUAAUGAAUCUACGUCUACUCCGCGGGUCAUUGCCGCAGUUUACCCUGAGAAUAUUUCUAGAAGUCUUGUUCAGGAUGGACUGGGUGCUGCCUAUAUGCUUGAUUUAGACAUGUAUAAGUUUCAGAUUUGUAAUGCGUUGGUUGACAAUGUCCCAGGAUUCUGCAUGAGAGAAAAUAAGUCAUUAAAUCCUAAAUUCCACAUCAGGGACAUUCAAUGAAUUACCAAAUUAUUCUUCACUUCGACAACGAGAAGUAUCAAUUCAACAGUAACUUAUUCAACAUGUUUUUUUUUUGAGAAAAGGUAGCAUGCUACCGCUUCAUUCACUUAGAAUAUAAACUCGGCUACAGAAUGAGACUUUAUCCCGGUCUCGGUCGAGAAAAGAAAAAAAAUAAAUAAAUAAAAAAUAAAAAACUUCACUUGUUAGAACAAAAACGGUCCCAAUUGGCAACGAACUGGAGGUAGUAACUUAUUCAACAUUGGACAAACAUAAUUGGCAACGAACUGGAGGUAGAAACUAGAAAGUGUAUCCUCUACGCUGCAGGAUGAAAGAGCCAAAGUCGCUGAAACCCCUCUUCAUCAUGCUCCUGUUACUUAUUACAGCAAAAAUUCUUCCCACUGGACAUCUAGCUGAGGCCUCCAGAACUGAAAACACCAACAAAGGCGAGAGUUUAUCUUGAUUCUUCAUUCUGUCAACUCUAGUUUAUAAAGUAAGCAAUUUAAUACCAUGCUUAAAAGCAAAAUUACACCUUUAACCAAAACAUUUGGCAUGUUCAAUACCCUUAUUCUAUUAAGCAUGUCAUGCAGCACAGUUAAUUCUAUACUCUCGAAAGACAAUCAUUCCCAAAAUACACCAAAUUGUCUUCGUUUAUCGAUAUAAACUGCGAAUAGUUUACUUCGGUUCCCGCUAUCAGGUUGCUCCAAGUUGUUACCCAAAUGCCAUUUGUUUUAAUUCUAGAGAUAUGCCUCCUAAUUUAAAGAUACAGGUGAGUUGCACAUGAAGAUCCAAGAAACUUGUUUCCCAAAAAGUAUAUAAAUAUAUAUAUGAAAAAUGAAAAAAAAAGGAUCUAGGAAACUUAUAAAGUUGUAUUUGAUGGGAUUGAACAACAGAAUGAUUCUUCUUAAACAGCUUUUAUAAUUAGGUUAGAUAAUGCUCUAAUUACUCAGGCAAGCUCUUCUAACUAUGAAUUUCUUUACCCUAUAAUUCUAUGUUUAGCCUCAGGGAAGAAUCCUAGUGUUUUUGAAAGAAGAGGAGUUAUUUUCAGAGAAGAACCUUCUCUGCCUUCUCCUGUAAACAAACUGCCUAUAGGUCCUACUCCAUACGAGCAGAGCAGUAAUGCAACAAGCAAGCUGGAUCAUUUCAACCACUGAAACUAAUGCGUGCAUGAUGAAGCCAUUAGUGAAUGCAAGUAAGACCAUAUCUUGAAACUUUGAUGAAUAUAGCCACCAGCUUUUUAAGCAAUUUAUGUUUGGCGAAUGCAGUGUAAUCUUGUAUGUAAUAUAAGACAGAACUCAAAAGUACAUGAAAAAUUUAGCACAAGAAGACUCACCUUGUUCAUUGUCCAAAGCAACUGAUGAGUUCUGGCGCUGGUACACUUCGUUCUGUUGUCGCAGAUGAAUCCUCAUAAAUCCUUUCACAAUGGAUCUUUAUGAUAGAACUC